rnacentral:snRNA from 1 species
GUGCUCACUUCAGCAGCUCAUAUAUUAAAAAAAUGGAACUAUAUGGAAAAGAUUAUCAUGGCCCCUGUGCAAGGAUGACACACAAGUUUGUAAAGUGUUCCAUAUUUUU